CAAGAAAGAUCGGAUCUGAUUCAUUGGUCGUCGGUGAAAGAAGUUUCGAGGAAAGUCCGUGUGUGAGAGUGGGGUUGGGGGAAGGCAGACUCCAAAAUUUUGUUGACUUGAAGUCCUCUAAAGACUCCAAACCUGCGUCUUGAUCAUGCCUACUUGGCAAGCUUCAGGAAAUUUCUGAAUCGUUCUUCUCCACUCUCUUGAGGAGAGGAAGAAGAUCCGGCGCAAAGUCUUCUCUUCCUUCGGAGACCCAGCUAAGUUAAGCUGACACCUUCAAUUGUGCUGGCAUCAGAAUCCAGCUUUCUUGCUUUCUUGCUUUCUUGCUUUCUUGCUUGCUAUUUAUACCAUAUUGAGAUCCAGCUUUCUAUUGGAUUUUAAACCGCAUCUCGAAUAAGCUCCAAGUUCUUCAUUUGCUCGGAAUCUUUUUCCUUAUUGAAUUUUGUUGAUGAGAUUAUACAAGCAAGAUAUAGCAUGAAUAGUUGCUGGUAUUUACGUGCUCUUGUCGGCUGUGUUCUCUGCUUAGAAUAUGAAGUUGGUGUAUUAAGGCUAGAUGUCAAUAAUUCAUUCUUACAUGAAUAUUUAUGUGAAAACUUCUAUGAGGAUACUCCUCUAUUUGCUUUAGCAAAAGAUGCAGGCGUGCCAGUUAAAGAGAUCCAUCUAUCAUCUAAAGCAAAAUUCCCUUGUGCUUGGUUUGGCAAGUUCAUUUAAGCACUGUUGGUUCUUUGAGUUUAAAAGAAGUCAAGCAUAUUAUUUUUGAUUUACUAUUGGAAAACAUCUUGAUGGCUAAUUAUACUUGUUAUCUAUGUAAAUGAUACUAUCCUUGGUGGAGAUGACUAGAUAGAGAUGAAAACCCUGAAGCAGCUUUGUGAAGGAAAUUUGUGAUUGAAGAUUUCGGUGGAGCAACUUCCAAAAGGAGGCUGUCCUCAUGGAUUAAAGUGUCGGUUGCCACAGUUGUUAUGAUACAACACAUACAAUGCCAAUGCCUUUCUAACAUCUAACAUUGGCAUGAUAUUGGCUGCAUGCCUGUGCUUGAAAUGCCAUAGUGACAGCUUUUGCCAAGCACUAGCACUGUGUUAAUGCGAGCUUGGCAUGACCUCGGCAUAUGAUAUCUUCAUCCUUGGUUGUCUUUUGAUAGAGGAAAUAUGUGUUGGACCUUCCUAAUAUACAAGACCUUUUGGUUCCCAAAUGUAACUAUAAGCUUAAUCAAGGGAAACUACUUGCUUGAAAACUAGAGAUGUACCGAAGAUUUGUUUAGAGCCUGAUAACCGUAACCAUUACCAAACCAGGUAUUACUCAUGACUUAGAUGUCUUCAGACAAUUUAUCCUGAGUCCUCAAGCUCCUCAUACAGAAGCUGUAUUCAGCUUUAGCAGUAUCUUAAGGAAGCACAACUCUGUGGAAUAUUGCAAGAAGAAUAAAUUAACCCCCAGCCUCUUGGGGUCAUCUUUGACAGCACCUUGUUGAAUGACCUAUACUUUUUCCAUCAUUUGAGGGUUUGAAAAUGAAAAACCCUGAAAAGGAAGGUGAUCACAAUGAAUUAAAUCUGACAAGACAACUUAAGCACUUAAAGUUUGCUAUACUAAACUAACUAGGAGGAAGUAAAAUUGAGAUCUAUACUCAAAAUAACUAUCAUCCAUGAAAUUCAUAGGUCCUAUGUGCAGGGCCAAUCUUCAUGUUAUGAAUGGUUCAUCUUUUGCAAGUGCUGGCUUCAACUCUGAACCGAUAUGAAUAUGGUCAUCCAGUAUUUCAUGCUGGUUGAUAUGAAAAUUUGGCACCAAGUUUGUACAAUGUUUUGUGCACAUGAUGUAUUCAGGUAUGAGCUUUUUAACAUUUCAGUGGGACUUUAUUUUUGUUCGAUACUAAAUUGUUUAGAUUUUUUUAUUGAGAAAUGCAUGGGGAGUACCACCAGCAGGGGUCAGUGGUCUUCGAACUGUGGACCUCUCUGAAGUGGAGUGGGGUGCCAAUCAGCUAAGGAUGGUUGGCUUUUAACACCUUCUUUUUGUUUGCUGUGUUAACUGGCUCGAUCUUUUCCUUGUUCACCCAUCUGAAAUUUGUAGGCUUUUACUCUAUAUGUGAAAGACUGUACUUAUAUCAUCUUUGUAUGCUAGACAUGGAAAAAAAGGGUGAUUCUAUUGCAUCAGCUCUCUUAUUGCGAUCACAGUGCAAUUAAAAAUUGAAAAAUGCAUGCAUGGAAAAAGUAAAAUAAAGGGUACUUAGCAUCCCUUCUAGUGCUAAUGGUAAGCAAUGGUUUUACAUCAGUUAUUCAGAUUGGCAGGUUAAGCAUGAUGAGUAUUGGACCAAGAAGAGUCUUGGAGAGUGUAGAGUCUUGCUUCUCUGAGUUGCAACUUCUCAAAAAUUAUUGAGAUCUGUGGUUUUAUGGACACUGAAUGCAUCUUUAGGAAGGGUUUCAGAAGGUGAAUAUGAAUUGUUUUAUUCGACAGUCAAAAAAAAUGAAUUUAUGCUUAUUGGCUGUUUGAUGAACAAGUUGAAGGUAUUGAAGAGGACAACCAAUGAGAUACAUAGGUUAGAUUAUUCAUGAAUCAAUCCAUGCAGUCUAUGCUCCUGCCCACUCUUUAAGGAAGAAUAUAGCUUUUCAUGGAGCCUCUUCCAGAUGGCUGAAAUGAUUUUUCCCUAAAAGCUAAGUGGAUUUAUGUCUCUGUGCAUGUUGUUUGAGUAAUUUAUCAAAUAAAAUACAUUAUAUUUGUAAUAACCCAGUUUUUAUUUGGGCUUGUGGGCUGGAAAAACCGGCAAUAAGAGGUGAAUUGAACAGGGAUUGUUGCCUACUUAAGAUCCCCUGUCCUCCUUCUUGAGAUCCAUCAAAGAAUGGGCUAGAAAUCCUCCGAUUCAAGCUUUUCUUCUUUGAGUUUCUUCCUUCGAUUUUCGCCGGAAAGCCUCGCCAGACUGAGGUACGAGCUCUCCAUCUUCUUCUCUUCCUUUGUGUUUUGGGCUUUCGAUCCCACGGAUUUGAGCCGGCAAUUGUCGGAGUCAAUCCGAAACAGGGCACCCCUGUUUCGAUUUUCUCCCACUAAACUCAGUCGGCCAGCCGUAGCCGCUGACCGCCCUCUGCUGCCCGCCACCGCCACGUUGCUGGACGACCACGAUCACAGUUGCCCUCUCUCUCUCUUAUGUUUUGCUAAGAAAAAAGAAAAAAAAGAAGAAAGAAGAAAAGGAAAAAAAAAGAAAGAAGAAAAGAAGAAGAAGAGGAGAGAGAGAACCAUCCCUCUAUUUCUCUCUUUUGUUUCUUCUCUUCUCUCUACUUUCUCUCUUCCAUCUCUACUUUCUCUCUCCUCUCUCUACUUUCUCUCUCUAUAAGAUCUAUGGAAUCCAGUAUCGGGUUCUAUCGAUCUGAUCUACGAACCUGAGUUGACUUCUGUAAAGGGCCCUGAUCCAUCCUGGUGCUCGGGCUGCCUACUGGACCGAUCACUUCGACUCUGCUGAAUGUCCUUGAAACCUUUAUUGAUGAACCAUAUUGAUUAAUCUUCAACCUGAUCGAGUCCAUUCCUAUGAUUUAUUGAUCGAAUCACUGAGGCCUGACCCACUCAAAAUCGUCGAACGCUAUCAUCCGACUAUCUCUAUUUCUUAUUAUUCGAUUAAAAUCAUCAAACGAAAAUUAAUUUUACUUUUCAUAUGUUAAUAGGGUUAACUGAAUUUUCUAGUGAAGUUUGACGGUCUAAGACGAAAGAGGUAAGCAGACCUUACACUCAUUAUUGUUCAAAUAAUUAUGUUUUCUGUGCUAGAAUUUGCUUGUAGAAAUAUCAUGCUUUUCUUAGAAUUAUGGAUCAGCAUAUGUGUUAUAAAAAUUAUAUUUUAUUAUGAAAAAUAGUUCUAUAAGUGUUUUAAUGAAAAUAGCUUUGUUAUGAAAUAUAAAUCUGAUCACGCCAUUUAAUGUUUUUCAUCUAUUUAUAUGUAUGUAAUAUAAAAAAGAUAUAAGUUUUUUUAAAGGCUUUCGGAUAGCUAUGUAUGAUCUCUAGAAUUGAAAAAAUCGACACCCGAAGCUAGCAUACAUACGAACACUGGCCCUACCAACAGGUAUAAAGUUGGCGUACGAAAUAUGAAUCUUUGUCGAUUACGAACACGGGCCCUAUCAUAGGUAUAAAAUGAUUGUAGCACGAGUACAUGUGAGCAAUAUUUUGAACUAUGAUAUGGCUAAAUAAAAAAAGAAUGAUUUAUGUAUUGAUUUGCAAAAUAAACUUGGAGCUAUGUUUAUGAAAUAUGAAUGAUUUAUGCACUCAUGAUUUGCUUUAUGACGAUUUAUUAUACUGUAUUAUGAAAUGUUUAUUUUGGAAUAUCUGUUAUUUUUCUUAAAUGAUGCAUUGACAUAAAAAAAUCAUAUUUGAUCCCAUAAGGUAGUGAAAGAUUUACUUACUGAGCUGUGUCACUCAUAUACCUCUAUUUUUUUGUUCUUUCUUCAAAGGAAUAGGGUCGAUAGGAACAAAGGAUGGUCCAGGCUUGAAGUUCGCGCUAGCAAGCUUAGCGAUCUAUAUAGCAGAGCAGAACUUUAGUUCUUUAUUUAAUUAUAAAUUUGUAGUUAGUGAUUUUUUGAAUAGUAAGAAUUAUGGGUUUGGUAUUUAUGUUUAGAUUUAGACGCUCUGAACUAAUAUUGAUUUUAUUUAAUGAAUAAUGGAAUUAGACUUUUAAUUAUUAUAUUUUAUCUGUAAUGGAUUUGAAAGCUAAAUGUAAUGUUAGCUUCGUAUUACCGUGGGCUGUAUCCCUUAGUAGCACGGCCAUGUCAUACUCCGGAUCUGAGGCAUGACAAUACUUGCAUUAUUUUAUCCUUCUGACAUUUAAUCACCGUAUAAGUCUAUAGUUCUGUUGCUUUUAACAUGCUUGAUUUUGGAAGAGUUGCAGGAAAAUUGUUUCUAAGGUGGUGACAUCUGAGUGUUUUGAUGUAGUGGCCAUUAUAUAUUUCAACGCAGUGAAGUGAAAUAAGGGUAACAAGGUAAGUGAAAUAGCAAUUUUUUUUCCCUCAAGGAAAAAGAGAAAGAAUAAAAACAAUUCUCUUCCCCAGUUUCUGUUGCCUCAUCGGUUGAUUAGACUUUUAAUUUCCUCUCAGAAAAAGGAUGACUGAAGAAAAGUUGGAGUUCUCAUUAAUUAACUUGUGUGCUAUUUAGCCUAGGAUUCUAUAUUAUAUACAAAAUACUUUUAUAUUGCUCAACCUCAAAAUUUACCCCAAAAAGCAGGUCAGAUAACUGUUCUGUCAACUUAGGUUUACGUGUCUUUGAUCAGAUCAUAUGUUUCAGUUCUUUACCUCAUCGGUAUUCUUAAUGAGAAAUUUCUAGCUUGGUAGAAACAUCAUCAUCAUCAUCUACUGUGAAUCAUAGUUUUGAAGUUUAUUACCACCAUGAUCUGCUGAAAUAUUUGAAUGGCUCUAGUCCUUAGGUACUCUCUUUAUAUAUUCGAAGAUCUGAGUAGUUUUCCCAAAAAAGAGGGGGGGUUAAAUGACACAAAUGAGUAUACACACCAUUGGGCUCACACUCGGCAUAAAUGAGCCAAUUGGAAUAAAAUCUAGUUGGCUACCUUCUCUCAAAGGAAACUGUCCCCUAGAUCCAAAGUCAUGUGCAGUUGUCAUCAUUCUUGUGACAUGAGACCGCGAAAGCCAACACCGAGCAUAGUGGAACAAAAUCUCAUAGAUUUCCAGAUUUCAUAUAUACAAUAAAGGCAUCAACCACUGACAAUAUCAGUGAAACAAUGGUUGCAUACAUGGCAAUUUUGACAAUUAUAACUAACUGUUUGUUCUUGAUGCUGAGAAGUGCUAGUACCAUUAGGAUAAAACACAACACAAAACUAGCCCAUAGCAGCAAGUGGCUGAUUUUGAGGAAAAUGUUAUCUGAUUUCUUGUGUUCAUUUCCAGCAAGAACACCAAUCAUGCUCCCAGUGAGCCCACCUAUGGCUACUGAAACCUUUAGCGCUAUCUUUGUGCAUUCCUUUGGAUCAUCAUCUUGUUUCGUGGCAGUAUGUGGAGGAUUCUGUUCUGAUGUUUCAGUUUGUCGAUCCUGUGUCUGCCUCCUUUGUUGCUCCUAGCAUUCAAAAAGGAGGAAUAUUCUAAGAUGGAAAGUGAUAAAUAUUUAGCACAGGAACUUAAUAAAUAAACUGCUCUUGCCUCUGAUAUAGAUAGAAUAUAAUAGGUCUAUCUCGUUUAUAUCUCCUUCUGAAUGUCCACAAGCUACUGUGCAUAGAUGGAAAUGUCAAUUUUCAACAAGAAGGUGCUCACUGCUUAAACUUAAUUCAAAGGGUUGGGAAGGAGAAGGGAAUGAUUAGGUAUGGGGGUCACUGGAAACAGUUGAUUACAUUUCCUUAUGAUAAUUAUGUUCCAUUUCAGAAUUGAAGUCCUUGGGCAGUAAUCAAGAGUUGUUUGAGAAUGUCAAGAUAGGGAGGAACACUGAAUCCUUUUUUAUUACAUGAGUGUUGAGUCUUUGAUGGGGAACUGAUAGAAGGCACCUUCAAAGGCAGGUAAGUUAGCUUGAUUCAUUAGAGCAACCUGAAUUUUUUGUUUUCAACGAAUCCAUAGAUAAAGGUAUUAACUUUUCUGAAGCCAAAUUACUAUCUGCCAGAACAUUAUAAUGACUGACAAUGGUCUCAAGCUGCAGUCAUUACAUAGCUAUAAUGGUGUAAUUUAAAAUUUCUGAUGGACUAAAUUUCUACUCUGUUUUCCAUAGGGUAAUUUUUAUGAACUUGUUUCUAUAUCAUUUAUAAGUUUGAAAGUUGUCCCAUGCAAUAAGAUCCACAGAAAGAAAAUUAUGCUAAAUUAUUUGAUGAUGAUAUUCUCUAUAAUGCUGACAUAUGGAGUAGGGCUAUUGCUUGGUGUUGUGUACCUUUUUUCACCAGAUAGCAAUAACCGAUGCAUAACAAUGUUUUUAGAAUAAUUAAGGGGCAAACUUUCGCAUUUUAACAUAGAUAUGAUCACCCAAUCCAGGACUUUACGCAAAAUAACCUGCAAUCUUUGUUGUGAUCCAAGUACGGAGAGCUUCAAGAUAAAAUCAUUUAUGGAUCUCGCACAUAACUCUCUCUCUCUCCCCCCUACCUUCAUGGUAGAGGUGGGCAUUGGACCGGGCUGCCCAUGGCCAGGCACGGCCCGCUUGCUAUAGUUACGGGCCGUGUUGGGCACGGCUCAUAAAAGGGGGUCGGGCUGGGUUAAGGAUUUCUGGCCCGCGGGCCGAGCCCGGCACGGCCCAUAAGGGCCUAGGCUGGCACAAUUCGUGGGCCAAGCACGGCAUGGCACGCGGGCUAGCCCGGAAAUAUCCCAAAAUACCCCUCAAAUUAGCCGUUUUAUGGCUGUUGGGAGGGGCAAAAUGAGUAAAAAGCCACAAAUAGCCGUUAUGGGCCACCUAUAACAGCAUUUUUUUUUUGGACAGACGGGCCGUGCCGGACCCGGCCUGUCUCGUGCCAGGCACGAUCCGUGCCGGGCCCGGCAUGGCCCGCCACCCAACGGGCCUAGGGUCGUGCCGGGCUUAGCCUUUAGGUUAAGCGGGCCGUGCCAGGCACAACCUGUUUAGUAACAGGCCGGGCCAGGCACGGCCCGUUUGGUCUGUAGCCCGGUGGGCUUGGGCCGAGCCCGGCCCGGCACGGCCCGAUGCCCAUUUCUACUUCAUGGUGUAAAUUUAUUCUGCAAUAUUUUUUUAGGAAUAUUUUAGUAAUAUUUAUUUUGGUAAUAUUUAUUGUUGGUAUAACUUAAUGUUCCUCACUUGAGCAGAACUCAGUGGAAAGCAGAUGGAGAUGAUGCAAUUCAAAAAGAAAAUUCAAUAACACCAUAUAAUGGGUAAAAAAUUAAAAUAAAUAUGUAGGACAUCCAUGUACCUGUGUUGCCAUGUUUUCCAUGAGCCCAACUUCUAUGAUGUUACUCCUUACUGUGUUUCCAGCCUCUAAAUCAAUAAAAUUUUCUUGUGGUACUGUUGGCUGUAGAAGGGCAAAAAAAAGAAGCAAAUACUGUAAUUUGGGCAAAAUUCAAGGAUCAUAAUUGAUACGUUAUAUAAUUUUAUGGUAAAUGUUGUAAUUUUUGCAAUUUUCAAAAUCAUAAUUGAUCCAUUUCGAUUGUUAAUGUGAGAAUCCUGCAAGAGUGUGUUUAGUCCUACAUCGGUUAUUCGCCGAGAAGAUCUUGGAUACUUAUACAGAAUCAAGG